CAUUAGCAUCAGCAUGGAACGUGUGACGAAGACGACGGGCGGAGUUCAGCUGCAGGUCCAGUAGCGUGUCCGCAAACCGUCGACUUCCAACGUAACUACACGGUGGCCAGCGGCUGUCGACGGCGCCAAAUUGGCGUUCGGCAUAGCAGCAGGGGAGACAGGCUGCCAAGUACACUGCGGGAACGCAGUCGAAUUCGGGAAGCUUCUUCGGAAUAGACCGUGAGACGAGAUGUUUCUCCUGUCCCUUUGUUCUAUGUUCCUUGGAGCAUGGUUACUUGUGGAGGCGACGAAGUGGCUUCUGGACUUCGCGGGAUUCGGACCGAUGGGAGUGAAACCGCACAGUCUUGCAGCCGCGUGGCACGCUGCAAAUCAUGGUCGGAUCAGGAAGAACAGCCAAUUCGCCAACCUGCAACGUUUGGGAAUGAGAGGGCUGCCUACCCCGUCGAAGAUAGUUCUGGCUAGCGGCGGAGCAUUCAUUGGAUUCAGACUCGUACGAUAAAUGUCGGGCAGGCUCCGUCGAAAUCACCUGCACGUGGAGCGCUGUGCGCAAUAAAAUUCCAGUAGAUGCCUCGCU